CCUCCGAGCAAGGCGGUCGCAUUCAGUCCAGUAUAUUUUAAAACAUUUUAUAUUGUAAACGUUAAUUUCGAUUUGUGUACAAAAUGUGAUUAUUUAAAUGUGAUUUUAAUUAUCUACAUGUUUUAAUAUCAGUUAUUUGAACGUCUCCGUAAACUUGUUCUAAUAAAUAAAUUCAGUUUUUAUUUUUAAUUACAUUUUUACAAUUUAACAGUAAAUAAGUGUUUUCAGAAGGCAAUUAGUGAUAAUAACUGAAGAAAAUAUUCAACAAUUUCAUACCAGUGGAGUGGAGUUAAAAAGGGAUAUCAAAUGAAAUGGUGUGCCAACUCAUCAAUCCGGAUAUCAGGUAUCAACAGUCGAAAAUGUGUUAUCUGGGACAUAGAAUAGUGAGGGGAAAUCGAUAUAUUACAACUGAUCCUUAAUGACAAAAUAGAGGGCCGUAGAGGUGUAGAAAUUAAACAUGUUUCUUGGUUAAAAAACAUUCGUGAAUGGACUCAGAUAUCAAAUGCAGGACCAUUAUUUCAUAUUGCAGAAGAUCGAGAAGCCUUCACAAUGGUGUUCGCCAACGUCGGAUAAUUCUGAUAUGGCAGGUGAAGAAGAAAAUCAACAGUGGAUCUUCUCAACAAACCAGACACUUUUUGACUGUUAACCAUUUGACAUUCAUUAAAUUGUUAAUUUCUCAUAGCCUACUUCAGGCUUGUUUAUUAAACUAAGCAGAAAAUUAGGAUUUAUUGAUGAAAACCAUCGCUAGUUGUUAACGUACCUAACUUUUUUAUUAUCCAACAUAAGCAAAUGAAUUAAAAAAGAAAAUGUUAAUAAAGCGUAAGACUAUAAUUAAGUUUUAA